GAAAAGAACUUUGAUWAAGAGAGUUAAAAAGUGCGUGAAACCGUUAGUGGGGAAACGGAUGCAGUUAGCAAUGCUUCGGCGAGAUUCAGGCGGUCACCUGGCUGGACGGGCAGUGUGUGGAUCCGAAUGGACUGUCGCUGCUUGGCUUGGUCUUGUGCUCGUCGCACUUCUCGUCGAAGCGCGUCAACAGCUGCUUGACUUGAGCGAUACGGUGCUCGGGAAGGUAGGCGUGUGUCUUCGGACUUGCGUUGUUAUAGCCCGUGGCAUUCCCAGUUCGAGUUUGGCAGAGGCGAACGGUGCAUGCUCUCUAGGGGGCUGGCGUCCUUCUCUUGAUCGAUUGUCGAGCAUGGCGGACUGCUUGCAGUGCGUCUGAACUGCUGUUGGUCAUUCGGGAGGAUCGCGCACACUAUGCACCUAGGUUGUUGGCGGCCAUAUGGCUUCAUCUGACCCGUCUUGAAACACGGACCAAGGAGUCUAACAUGUGCGCAAGUCUUGGGGUGACCGAAACCCAAAGGCGCAAUGAAAGUAAAGGCUGCCUGGCAGCCGAGGUGAGAUCUUCGUUCCGCGUGUCCGAAGCGCAUCAUCGACCGACCUAUUCUACUCCUAGAAAGGUUUGAGUAAGAGCGCAUCUGUUGG
rnacentral:rRNA from 1 species